rnacentral:tRNA from 1 species
CAGAGAAUAGUUUAAUAGAAAAUAUUAAUUUUGGGGAUUAAGGAUGGGGGUGACUCCUUCUCUGA